rnacentral:rRNA from 1 species
GGGGAAUAUUGGACAAUGGGCGCAAGCCUGAUCCAGCCACGCCGCGUGUGUGAUGAAGGUCUUCGGAUCGUAAAGCACUGUGGAGAGGGACGAAGGGGAUAUGAUUAAUACUCAUGUUCAUUGACGGUACCUUUUUAGCAAGCACCGGCUAACUCCGUGCCAGCAGCCGCGGUAAUACGGAGGGUGCAAACGUUGCUCGGAAUCAUUGGGCGUAAAGCGCGUGUAGGCGGUCAAGUAAGUCGCGUGUGAAAUCCCUGGGCUUAACCCAGGAAGUGCGCUCGAAACUGCUUGACUUGAGUACGGGAGAGGGUAACGGAAUUCCCGGUGUAGAGGUGAAAUUCGUAGAUAUCGGGAGGAACACCAGUGGCGAAGGCGGUUAUCUGGACCGAUACUGACGCUGAGACGCGAAAGCGUGGGUAGCAAAC